rnacentral:rRNA from 1 species
AGCAGUCGCCGCGGGAAUACGUAGGUGGCAAGCGUUGUCCGGAAUUAUUGGGCGUAAAGCGCGCGCAGGCGGAUCAGUUAGUCUGUCUUAAAAGUUCGGGGCUUAACCCCGUGAGGGGAUGGAAACUGCUGAUCUAGAGUAUCGGAGAGGAAAGUGGAAUUCCUAGUGUAGCGGUGAAAUGCGUAGAUAUUAGGAAGAACACCAGUGGCGAAGGCGACUUUCUGGACGAAAACUGACGCUGAGGCGCGAAAGCCAGGGGAGCGAACGGGAUUAGAUACCCGCGUAGUCCCUGUCUCUUAUACA